rnacentral:rRNA from 1 species
UCCGGUGUCGAUGCGCUUAGGGGAAACACCCGUUCCCAUCCCGAACACGACGGUUAAGACCUAAGCGGCCGAUGGUACUGCAUUGGAGACGAUGUGGGAGAGCAGGUG